rnacentral:lncRNA from 1 species
UCUAUAUCCUGCAAUAUUGCACCUCCCUCCAGCAAUGGUUGUCAUGCCAUCAUUUCUAAUUUUUCUAACAACCAUAUUCUGAGUAUUACCAACAUGAACAUUCUCGUUAUCAUCAAUGGUUGAAGGGUUAGAAUAUUAUUUUUCAUAGCAAUCCUUCUCCAAGCAUUUCGUUGGAGGGUUCUUGAUUCUCUCUGCACCACACACUACUCUCAUGGCAAUUGCACCACCAGUGAGGGCCAAACCAAUGGUUUCAUCUCAUCCAACAAGCAUAACCCCUAAUCUAGGGACAUGAUGAGAAUUGUUUUGAGUUCACAAUUGAUUUUAUUGGGUUCAUAUAACUUAUUGUUCAUACUUAUGAAUAAAUUCACAAGUUUGGAUGAUAAAAUAACGAUUUAGUGCUUUUUCUCUACACACCUUGAAAGGACUCCAGCCACAACAAGAGGACCGUGUAUGACUCUUGGAGAUGAAGGAGAAAAGGAUGGAUGGAGGAUAUGGAUGUUGCCACGAAGCCAAUAUUCUUAGGUCUCCUUGUCACGUAUCCAACAAGUUCAACUCUCUCUGGAGGCUGAUAUUGAAGUGAGGAUAUGUUUGUGUGAUUGUAAUAUAUGGAGGAACAAUGGUAGAGCCACGUUUUUUGUGUCCUCCCUCCUCUUAUAUAUCUUUUCUUCACAUGAUUUCUAUUUUUCUUUUGAUCUCAAAGAAAGGGUUGUUGGUAAUUUGAGAAUAUAUUUGAAGGAGAUCAAGGUUUUUGAGAUUGUGUUGUUUGUCUUUAUGGUGGCGGUAUAGGAGAGAAGUUGAGAUGAAUGAAGUGUGGAGCAUGUUGGAUCGUUUGGGGUCAGAUUUUUUUGGUCCUCUAGCAUGGAUCCAUACGGCUCAUGAAUACAUAGUUUAGAGCGGUGGGUUGAUGUCUUGGUGGUUUCUGUUUUGGUGGUCGCAAUAUGGGUUGUAGGAGUAUUGUUGGGUGAGGAAUAAAAGGUGCGGGUUCUUCUCUAUUAUGUUGUUCAUGUUUAUGGCUGUCAAGGGAGGGCCACCUUCUCAAUCUUGAUCUUAUUCAAAUAACCAAC